rnacentral:rRNA from 1 species
UACGUAGGUGGCAAGCGUUGUCCGGAUUUACUGGGCGUAAAGAGCGCGCAGGCGGUCAGAUAAGUCGAAUGUGAAAGCCCCCGGCUCAACUGGGGAGGGUCAUUCGAUACUGUUCGACUCGAAGGCAGGAGAGGGAAGUGGAAUUCCCGGUGUAGUGGUGAAAUGCGUAGAUAUCGGAAGGAACACCGGUGGCGAAAGCGGCGUGCUGGAUCCCUACUGACGCUGAGGCACGAAAGCCAGGGGAGCAAACGGG